AAUGCAACUGCGCUUGCGUGUGUGCGUGACGUAGCUUCGAGCGGAUCUGCGCUAGAGGCACACGGUAGACGUUAGGCCCUGCAGCUGGUUUGUUUUCUCCAGAUGAACGUCCGAAUGAUUCUGCACAAAGAGUCGGAUCCUAAAACAGUUCUUUGGAACGCCGACAGACCUGGUGUCAACACGCUGCAGCCAUGGGCUCGUCUGUCAAACUGAGCCAAGACCUGAAAAUGAAGCUUGUUGAUGCAUACAGAGAUGGAAAGGGCUACAAGAAGAUUUCAAAGUGUUUUGGAUUUUCGAUUUUCACCAUUCGGAACGUGAUCAGAAAAUGGAAGUCAACAGGAUCUGCGGAAGUCAAGGCAAGAUCUGGAAGGCCAAGAAAAAUAUCAAAGCAAACUGCGCAUCUGAUGGGCAGAAAGGCAACAGAGAACCCCCACCUGACAGUAAAGGAGCUGCAGAUAGGGCUGGCAGAUGCAGGAGUGGUGGUGCAUGCGUCCACCGUGCAGCGUUGUUUGAACAAACAGGGUCUCCACAGAAGAAUCCGGAAGAAGGCUCAGAAAGACGCUGAACCAGAGCGGAGUACACAUGAAGCUCGAACAGACAAACUGGAAUAAUCUGUAGUUAUUUAGUUUAACUUGUUGACAACAGGAGAGAAGAAAUAUGAUUGUCCUUAUCUAUUUAAACUGUCUUUGACUGCAGGUGCAAUAAAAGAAGCCAAAGCAUGAA